UGAGGGAGCUGCGAUGUCUGCACGAUCCCCAAGCAUGCCACCCGCCUGCACUGACCCCAGCUGGUCACCAACUGGACCCCACUGGUAUUAAUACAAGCAAUAGGGCGUGAGUCUGUGUCAGUGUGAGUGUAUGUCUGUCAUUGUGAGUGUAUGGGUCUCUCAUGAUGUGUGUGUGUGGGUCUGUCUGUCAUGGUAUACAUGUCUGUCUGUUUGUCAUGGUAUGUGUGUUGAGGGGACCAGACUUCUUCUGUUCGCAAGGGAAUGGUGUUUAUACUCACCUUUUAUUCCCAUGUCGUGCUGGUCUCCCCUCAACUGGCCCUGCCUCUAUGGCUGAGAUGAUCAAGCUUCAUGAUCUCAGCCAAUUCAAUGUUUUCCCAUAGGAUUGGCUGCAAAACACUGCACCAAUCCGCAUCUCCUCAUAGAUAUGCAUUGAAUCCAUGUAUCUCUAUGGGGAACAAUCAGUGCCUCCACUCAGAGCGUGAAGACGCUUAAUGUAGGUGCUGCACACUGUGCAGCACUGACACAGGAAGCACCUCUAUUGACCACCAUUGUCACUAGAAAACAAUGUAAACACUGCCUUUUCUUUGAAAGCUGUAGUGGUCCUGGUGACUAUCGUGUCCCUUUAAGAAAUGUAUUUUUGUCGUUGAAUAUAAAGCUAUGUAAGUUUUUUAAAAAUCUGGCUCCUAGCUUUUUAAGCUGGCUCCUAGAUUCAAAGUGAAUUUGUCAAUCCCUG